rnacentral:rRNA from 1 species
AUUGAACGCUGGCGGCAGGCUUAACACAUGCAAGUCGAACGAGUGGCGGACGGGUGAGUAAUGCUUGGGAAUCUGGCUUAUGGAGGGGGAUAACGACGGGAAACUGUCGCUAAUACCGCGUACCAUAGGAUGAGCCCAAGUGGGAUUAGGUAGUUGGUGGGGUAAUGGCCUACCAAGCCGACGAUCGCUAGCUGGUCUGAGAGGAUGACCAGCCACACCGGGACUGAGAAACGGCCCGGACUCCUAGGCGAGGCAGCAGUGAUGAAUAUUGGUCAAGGGGCGUGAGCCUGAACCAGCAAAGUAGCGUGAAGGAUGACUGUCUUUGGAUUGUAUACUUCUUUUGUAGGGGAAUAUGUACCCUACGAAUAAGCAUCGGCUAACUCCGUGCCAGCAGCCGCGGUAAUAC